UUAAAGAUGAUGAAGAGUAUGAAGAUAUUUUGGAAGAUAUGAGGGUAGAAGGUGGAAAAUUUGGUACAUUGAUGAAUAUUGUCAUCCCCCGUCCACAACCUAACGGUGAACCCUCUCUAGGACUUGGAAAGGUUAGUUUCAGUGUAAGGCUUUCGUUGAGAACUACGACACUUCAUGUCUAAGCCAG